AUUGAACGCUGGCGGCAGGCCUAACACAUGCAAGUCGAACGAGUGGCGGACGGGCGAGUAAUGUCUGGGAACCUGCCUGAUGGAGGGGGAUAACUACUGGAAAAGGUAGCUAAUACCGCAUACCAUCGGAUGUGCCCACAUGGGAUUAGCUAGCAGGUGGGGUAAAGCCUAACCUAGGCGACGAUUCCUAGCUGGUCUGAGAGGGUGACCGGCCACACUGGAACUGAGACACGGUCCAGACUCCUACGGGAGGCAGCAGUGGGGAAUAUUGCACAAUGGGCGCAAGCCUGAUGCAGCCAUGCCGCGUGUAUGAAGAAGGCCUUCGGGUUGUAAAGUACUUUCAGCGGGGAGGCGUUACCCGCAGAAGAAGCACCGGCUAACUCCGUGCCAGCAGCCGCGGUAAUAC
rnacentral:rRNA from 1 species